AAGCUUUUUUUUGGCAGGUCUUGUAAGGAGAAGCGUUCUUCAUAUGCACCACAGAAUGGAGUUCGAUAUGAUGGGAUUUACAGGAUAGAAAAAUGUUGGCGCAAAGUUGGAAUUCAGGGAUUUAAAGUUUGUCGGAAUCUUUUUGUACGCUGUGAUAAUGAACCUGCUCCGUGGACAAGGUUAGCUGAGUUAUGAAAACAUGGGGGAUUAACAUUAGGGGCCCCUGAAAGUGUGGGAAAAGGUAAUUUAGUUGAGUCAGGACUGUUUGGGAGAACUUUGGUUGAUAUGGCUGUUGAUCGUGGAUGCUAUAUAGACCAGAGUCAAAGUCUUAACGUCCAUAUGGACCAACCCAAUUUCGGAAAGCUUACUUCUCUCCACUUCUAUGCUUGGUCCAGGUCAACCUUGGGCUUUUGUGCAAUGGAUGGAAAAGCUUAGCAUAGAGGAAGAGUUAAGCUUUUUUUUUGGCAGGUCUUGUAAGGAGAAGCGUUCUUCAUAUGCACCACAGAAUGGAGUUCGAUAUGAUGGGAUUUACAGGAUAGAAAAAUGUUGGCGCAAAGUUGGAAUUCAGGGAUUUAAAGUUUGUCGGAAUCUUUUUGUACGCUGUGAUAAUGAACCUGCUCCGUGGACAAGGUUAGCUGAGUUAUGAAAACAUGGGGGAUUAACAUUAGGGGCCCCUGAAAGUGUGGUAUGGUUAACAUUCUUUCCAAGCCAGUUUCUCUCCAUUGUUUAUUUCAUGCAACUCAGACCCAUGAUAAGUUGAUUAUUCAUUGUUGAAGCUACAUUAUAUUAAAUAGAUUAAAUAGAAAAAGAAAGAUCUGCUUUUGUAAAUUUGAUAUGUUGUGAUUCGUAUAUGAUGCAUUGAAGUGUGAAUUUGAUAUAUUGUGGCAAGCUCCAUAGAUCAAAAGCAUACAUUUGUGGCAAUCCAUCAUUUAACUGUUA